rnacentral:rRNA from 1 species
CGUGGAGACAGGUGGUGCAUGGCUGUCGUCAGCUCGUGUCGUGAGAUGUUGGGUUAAGUCCCGCAACGAGCGCAACCCUCACCCCUAGUUGCCACCGGGUUAAGCCGAGCACUCAAGGGGAACUGCCAGCGUCAAGCUGGAGGAAGGCGGGGAUGACGUCAAGUCAUCAUGCCCCUUACGCCCUGGGCUACACACGUGCUACAAUGGCCAGUACAAAGGGACGCGAGACUGCGAAGUGGAGCUAAUCCCAAAAAGUUGGUCUAAGUUCAGAUUGCAGUCUGCAACUCGACUGCAUGAAGGAGGAAUCGCUAGUAAUCGCGUAUCAGCCCGGCGCGGUGAAUACGUUCCCGGGCCUUGUACACACCGCCCGUCACACCACGAAAGCUGUCUGUACUCGAAGUCGCUGAG